CUCCCUUUCUCCCUCCCCUGGCCUCUGCACUCCCGCCCAGUCUGUCCCGCCGGGUGCCGGCGGCGGGGUCCACUCGGCUCCGUGCGUGCUCUUUUUCAUUUCAUAGGUGGAAGGCGGGCCUAGAAAGCCUCCAGGCCCGGCGGGAUGGCCCCAGGGCGCCUUUCGCUGGUCCUGCCAGGCUCGGGAAGCCACCGACGUGCGGUCGCGCAGUGUCUGGUCCAGCCGUUAGAUGACUAGGAUAGGCCCUAGAAGGGCUGGAAAGUCAUCAUGAUCUCCAGGCCCAAACUGCACUAUCCAAAAGGAAGAGGAGCAUGGAAUCCGUGAGAUAGGCGCUAGCUGCUGCCCGAGUAGAGAUCUCAUCUGUGUAUGCAUUUCUGAAAUUUGUUCAACACUCACACAGUUGGAAUUCCUCACAUCUGUAUAAAAAGGUGAAAUUAGAUGAGAAUGCUCCCGUCUGGCACAACGUUACUAGAACCCGACAUUUGUUUCUCCGUAAGCCAUAUCAAAUAGAAACAAAUAUAUAUGGAUCAAAAACAUUGGAACAGUGAGAAAAAGAGCCUUUUCACUUUACUUCAUAGUUCAGGCAUUUUGUCCCAACAGAGGAAUUUCUGUCAUACAAAACCUUUGUGAAUUCAUGUCUGUGAUCAUCUGCUUUAUUACAUUUUAGAAGGCGCAUAUACAUGCAAGCACGCAUUUAUGUUAUCUGAUUCCUAAAUUUUAUCCAGAGUCUCCCAUGUUUGCUCCUUUCUUUCAAUGUAAAGGAAAAUCCAAAUCCAUGUGGUCAGUUGUCCCACAAAGUGGUCGUGAGGUAAAAGAAAAAAAGUGACUAUUUUAAAAUAUAUCGGUAUUCAUAAAUUAGGAUUACAAUGAUAUUGCCAGGUAAUUUGCAUUAUAUUUAUCAUAAUUUUUCUAAUACAACAUAAAUCUCUAAUAAAGAGAUCAUGCAAAUUACUUGACAAUAAAUCCCUGAGGAACAGAUCCCUGGAAAAAGAACAAUCCACUGACUUAUCCAAAUUUGAAAGGAUAUCCUUGUAUUAGCCUUCACUCAUCAUCAGCUGAAAUAAGGUGUGAGAGUUUCUAUUUGGAGAAGAUAAUAUUUUUCAUACAACUUCCAUAUUAUAUCAUUAAAUAUAUGUUUUGCUUAUUAAAACAAAUCAAGUUAUAUGCAGUUUUGAAAUUGUUUUAAAAUGAAUUCAAAGCAGUCAUAUCAAAAUGCAGAUUAAAAAAACUAAAGAAACAGGAUUUGUUUAAAUUAAUAGACAACUUGGAUGCCAUUACACACCAUUUCCAAAAAGCAACACUAAAAUUUUAAUAUAUUGAUGAUGAACAUACAAAUGUAUUUGUAACAUUUUGCAAAUUAUUUUUCCCUUUUCUGUCUUCAUUUAGUUUUUGCACAUAAGUUGUAUUAAUCAAUUGCAACAGUACCUACUGAAAUAUUUAUUCACAAUUCAAUGAAUUUGCCAUGUAUUCAUCUCAUUAGUGAUCAGCUCAAAAUCUACUUCAUUUCAGGUAUUCAGCAUUGAGUGUUUUGAAUUAGCAGAGGAAUGAAGAUGAGCAAUCCUACUUUACACUGAAGGGCAUUCUUAGUGCUACUCAAUAAAAAAAAAAAAAGAAGCUAAAGAACCAUUUGAUUUCAUCCAUGAAUUUGGGAUGAGGCAUUAAUAAUUCAUAGUACAGCUAAUACUAAUGAUGCCUUGAGGAUAUACCAUGAAUUCAGCAACUCUCUUGAGGCGAAUAUUACAAACAAAUGUCACUUGAUCCCUUUAAAGCAAAAUAGAUUGAAUUUAUUUCCAUAUUAAACUAAUAGUGUAGUCUUCAGAAAGAUACAGUACUGGGAAUACAACUAAGUUUCAUGAAGAUAUGGUUCUACCUACCCAUAUCAAUAUACAUUUUUGAGUAAAUAUAAUAAUGUAGAAUAAUGUCUUACGUAGUAGCUCAUUUCUUUUUCAUCAUUAAUACUCUGGUUUGCCACAGAAUGUCUUCAAUCUUUAUCACUAUCUGCCAUUUUCAAAGACCUAGACUACAAUGUAACAGGAUAGUGUAAUGUUAAAGUCACAAAUCUUGUAAGAUUAAUUUUAACUUUUCUCUAAUAUUUACUGUUUUUAUCACAUCAUGUAAUACUGAAAACAUCUAACCAUUCUGCAUAUUCAGCAUGAAAUUAAUGUACUUGAUAGAUUAGUCUCCUCCCUGAGCCACUGGAAAUGAUUGGUUUCUAAUAAUCAGAAUUCUCCCUUUCCUUAACUGUAGUAGA